AUUCGGGUGACGAGUCCCAAAUAGGACGAAAUGCGUAUCGUGGAU
rnacentral:hammerhead_ribozyme from 1 species